GCGCAUAAUUUCACUGAGGGAAGGUUAUGUCAUCUUUGAUGUGAAGAUGGAAUAUACAUAUGCCAUACAUAGCUGCCUGCAAGUAAAUGGUAAAGAAAAAAGAAAAAGUCUUCAGUUCAGGAAUUUCCUGUUCUGAGGCAAGCACUGCAAAAAUCUUUGAGUUCCACUGGCUCUUUGCUGUUCACCACAUUUCUCAAAAAGGGAAGAGGAGACUCAUGUGUGUCCACUUUGAGAAGAAGCAGGGUGGGAGGUCAUGAGAAAAAUAGUUUUCAAAUCAAGCUGGAAAUGAGUUCCACAAGGAAGUCCUUGAAAAACACACAUUCAGUGUCAUCCAAGAGCCCUGGCAGAAUUGAUGGCACCUGCAGAUUCCUCUUCAGAGACCUUUCAGCAAGUGACUCUGCAGCAACAGAAAUGUUCUUCCCACUGAUGAAUAUCUUCUGGCAAGUGCUCAGCAAGGGUGGCAUAGGGGCCGGGUCCAGCACUGGAGAAUGUCACAUUUGCCUUCAGCAUCUUCUUUACAGGUUACAGCACAAAUGCCCAGGACUUUUUACAUGGGAAUAUUUUCAGACAGCAGCCCUCCAAGCAUAGUGCCAAGCCUUCAAUAGCUGAAAAGAGCAUCUAAGUCCAUUUCUCUGUUUCCAUCUCUCAUGAUCCCUCUUUCUGCAGCCCUGGCAGAUGCUUUGAUACCACCAUAAUCCAAAGGAUGGCCUUCAUUUCUCCCAUCAUUUUGUUGUCAUUUCCCUUCUGUUCACCUGUAACAUUAUUUUAUACUUGUGUGGUAUUUAAAAAUUUUUAACCAUAUUUAAUAAGAAUUUCUUAGCAGUUUCUUCAUAAAAUGUAAUGGUGAGCCAGACUGUUGCUCAUUCCUUUGCCUGGCUUGCCUAGCAACAUCAUCUUGUGCUUUGAUUUCUGAGCUCUUGGCAGAGAUAUCUUUUUUUUUUUUUUUUUUUUUUUUUUUUUUUUUUUUUUCUGAGUUAAUAUAGCACUGGGUGCGAAGGGAGAUCUUGCCCAGGGGCAGAAUGGUUAGACCUAUAUUCACUGGAAUUACAACGAACAGUAAUAAUAAUAAUAGCAACAUUUCUUCAAGGAUACCACACAUAGCGAGUAAGAAUGUGGCCAAAGAAUGGGUGUUAUUGAAUUUCUGAUGAAAUAGUGAGAUGCUUCAGUGAAAAAGAAUACCGUUUAAAGGUGAUAGUUUUUGUUUAUUUUGUCUUCAUCAGACAUACCAAAAAUUCAUAUUCAGUCUAAAUUAUUCAUGAUUAUUUUGCUAUUCCUGAUGGAUUUUUGUACAACAAGUCUUCAGUUACACUGAAUUCUUUAAGUAACCUUAAUGAUAAUAUUACUAUUACAUGUUAGCAAAUCGUUGAACAUACAGAGACACACAGGAUUUUGAUGAAAAGCUGCAACUCUGAAAAAGUUCAGUGAUUGUCAUCUUUGGAGCAUAUUUUGUGAUCAUCAUCCUGCUGGGCACUUAGGUAUCUGUUGUUUUCCAUAUCACACAUAUUUAAAAUAUAUAAAGUAGAAUGAAAUUCACAAAAGAGAGAUAUCAAACCACUUGUAUGACAUUACAACUCUACAUGACUACUGUUAUAAUAAUACCCAAUACCCUAGGCUACGAGUAGUAAUAAUUAUACUAAGCCUAGCGUAGAUUCUCACUGAAGUAAUGAUCUCUGUUCUGAUGCCUACUGAUAUUAAAUACCAAUAAAAGUUGGGCCCUUGUUGGGAGAUACUAAUCAAACAUAUGUUCUGCCAAUCUGAUCUAUCUCUACUAUUAUCACAUAAUGAUACUCUACAAGGCACAGGGAGCAGCACACAGCUUGAUUCAUUUCCCAUUAUCAGGUAAUACACAAACUGUGCUGACUAUUGUGCAAAAUUUCUGGGGAUGAAAAGAGAAAAAAAAAGGAUGGUAGUUAGAAAAAGAGAAAGAAUAAAUGGGAAAAAUGCCUGCCUGCCAGUGCUAGGAUUGUGAGCCUACAUGCUUCAGCUGAUGAAAGAUGGAGAGUGCUAUAAUGUAUUUUAUUACUUAUGCUAACUGUUGCUAUGUAAGAUGACUUGUGACAAGGUAAAGGUGACAAAUAUAAAAGACAGCUCUAUUGUGGAGCUAUAUUGCAUUGAUGUUUACUUAUGCUUCCAUAAGGCAAUAGAAUAAAGCUUGAACAAUUUGCAUCCAAUUUAGAAAUCAGGAGCAUAAAAUUAAUCUUAAAGGAUAAAUUGAGCUGUUUCAGUAAAGUAUACAAGUAUCCAU